AGGUAGUAAUCUUAAUUAAAACCUAAUUAUAAUGGCGGCUCUUGUUAAAUUAGAGGAACUUGUCUCUUAAUCGAUAACCCACGUUAAAUCCUACUUUAAUUAUAAAUUUAUAUACCGCCAUCUAAAGAGAUUUUUAAACAAAUUUGUCUUAAUAAAAUAUAAAAAGUUAGGUCAAGGUGUAGUCCACAUUAAAGCAGAAGAUGAGUUACACUAAAAUUCAUUUAAGGAUAGUUUAAUUAAACCUAAACUUCAAAAAGGAUUUAUUAGUAAUAUUGAACUAAUAAUUCAAUAUGAAAAUUCUUACAAGAGUGC
rnacentral:rRNA from 1 species